UAGAAUGAAGACCAAUGGAGACCAAUGAACCAAAUUUAAGUAACGAAACGGUGACCCAACAAAUGACCAAUACCUUUGAUUAAAGGGUUACCCUGAAAAUAAUAAAUAGAACAGUCUCCACUGAUAGAUGGCUGGUUACAAAAAAAAACUACUACAGGGGGCUCUGCUAACCACAGAGUGACAUAUGCCUUUCAAAACAAAGAAAAAUUAGAGCAGAAAGACAUAUGCCGCAUUGGCAAUAAAAUCAAUGAGAGAGAGCGAGCAAGAUAAUCACACCGACAUGCCGUAAAAGAGGAGAAAUGGUAACUUUUUUCCUGCUGCUAGAACAAAAGAGACCAAAAUAAUAAUACAAGCUUUCUUUACCGGUAACCAAUAUUCCAUAAGAUAACUAACUCUACUCAUCUUGUAGGGAUAGCUCUGGCAAAAACUCUACUGUGAACAAUAAUUAUAUGAAUAAUAAAAUUAAAGAAAUUAUAAAAGUUUUUAGAAAUAUUUAAAUUUUGGCACCUUUCACCGAUUUGGACUUGUAAAUCACGCGUUCCACGUUCCAUAAUCUGGAUUUCAAAAUAUUUAAAUAUUUGCUGAUAUGGAUCGCAAUCCAUCAAUUUUGCGUGCUAAAUGUUCAAUAAAUAUCGGAAUACAGGUGGAUGGCAUCAUACAAAAAUUUAAAUGUCAAUCGUGGAGUGCUCCGGAAAAUUGAUUAUAAUGCUUAAAAUAUGUAUUAAAUUACAAAUAAAUGUAAAGAAGUCCUACCUCAAAUAUUUUUGUAAAAAAAAAUUGCUAAAAAACCAUCCAAUUCUCCUGCGUUCAGGGUGGCGUAACCACUCAAUAAAAGCACUUGUUGGUUUAAUAACUUUGGCAAUGCAAUAAAUAAUUAACUUCGGAAUCACUGUCAGUUGACUCACUCGAACUCAAUGCAACUCCAUUUGUGUAUCAUCAAUCAAUAAAUGAAUCUUCUAGAUGUCGAUAUGCUGCAGAUUCUUGCUCUUUCAGAAGUUGGCUCUUCCAGAAAAGAUUAAUUAUAUUAUUUAUUUUUAAUCAAUC